rnacentral:rRNA from 1 species
ACGAACGCUGGCGGCGUGCUUAACACAUGCCAGUCGAACGGAAAGGCCCUGCUUUUGUGGGGUGCUCGAGUGGCGAACGGGUGAGUAACACGUGAGUAACCUGCCCUUGACUUUGGGAUAACUUCAGGAAACUGGGGCUAAUACCGGAUAGGAGCUCCUGCUGCAUGGUGGGGGAUGGAAAGUUUCGGCGGUUGGGGAUGGACUCGCGGCUUAUCAGCUUGUUGGUGGGGUAGUGGCUUACCAAGGCUUUGACGGGUAGCCGGUCUGAGAGGGUGACCGGCCACAUUGGGACUGAGAUACGGCCCAGACUCCUACGGGAGGCAGCAGUGGGGAAUAUUGCACAAUGGGCGGAAGCCUGAUGCAGCAACGCCGCGUGCGGGAUGACGGCCUUCGGGUUGUAAACCGCUUUCGCCUGUGACGAAGCGUGAGUGACGGUAAUGGGUAAAGAAGCACCGGCUAACUACGUG